rnacentral:rRNA from 1 species
AAUCAACGCUGGCGGCGUGCCUCAGACAUGCAAGUCGAACGAUUAAAGCUCUCUUCGGGGAGUGUAUAGAGUGGCGCACGGGUGAGUAACACGUAAGUAAUCUACCCUCGAGUGGGGAAUAACAACCGGAAACGGUUGCUAAUACCGCAUAAUGCAGCGGCACCGCAAGGUGACAGUUGUUAAAGAUUUAUCGCUUGAGGAGGAGCUUGCGGCAGAUUAGCUAGUUGGUAGGGUAACGGCUUACCAAGGCUACGAUCUGUAACCGGUCUAAGAGGACGGUCGGUCACACUGACACUGAAUAACGGGUCAGACUCCUACGGGAGGCAGCAGUCGGGAAUUUUGGGCAAUGGGCGAAAGCCUGACCCAGCAACGCCGCGUGAAGGAUGAAGUAUUUCGGUAUGUAAACUUCGAAAGAAUAGGAAGAAUUAAUGACGGUACUAUUUAUAAGGUCCGGCUAACUACGUGCCAGCAGCCGCGG